GUGGGGAAUAUUGGACAAUGGGCGAAAGCCUGAUCCAGCCAUGCCGCGUGUGUGAAGAAGGUCUUCGGAUUGUAAAGCACUUUAAGUUGGGAGGAAGGGUUGUAGAUUAAUACUCUGCAAUUUUGACGUUACCGACAGAAUAAGCACCGGCUAACUUCGUGCCAGCAGCCGCGGUAAUACGAAGGGUGCAAGCGUUAAUCGGAAUUACUGGGCGUAAAGCGCGCGUAGGUGGUUCGUUAAGUUGGAUGUGAAAGCCCCGGGCUCAACCUGGGAACUGCAUCCAAAACUGGCGAGCUAGAGUACGGUAGAGGGUGGUGGAAUUUCCUGUGUAGCGGUGAAAUGCGUAGAUAUAGGAAGGAACACCAGUGGCGAAGGCGACCACCUGGACUGAUACUGACACUGAGGUGCGAAAGCGUGGGGAGCAAACAGGAUUAGAUACCCGAGUAGUCC
rnacentral:rRNA from 1 species